UGACUACAGUAGUUUUUAUGACAGUCUAGUUCGGGUUGGCCAGCGCUACUCCAGAAGUCACCUGUAGAUGUCGCCAAAAUAACUCAACCAACACAUGGAGUAGGCUAUGUGAUGUUAUAUUUUAAUAUUAGAAUACAUUUUCUCAUUAAACCUGUUAUCAGAUUUAUAUUGUUAUUCUGGUUGUUAGAACUGAAGUUGAACAUAAAGCGUCUCUUAUAAUUUCUUAACACAAAGCAUUUUAAUCAGAGAGGACAGAACUUCGCUGCUGUCUUAGCAUUGCAAAUUCAAAUGCGACCUGUAAAGUUCCCGGGAAUAAGAGCAGGUUUGCAUAUGACCGCCGCUUAUACACACACUCAGAAACACCCAAUGUGUUCCCUGACCAGGGAACGAGUGCUGUCUGUAUCAACUGCGCGUUUAUUUAGCACAUUCCUCCUGCACUUGAAGUCGAUGUGCGCCGCUGGGCACAACAACACUCACUAAACUGCUCGACUUCUCUCCUGUCAGAGGAAGACACGAUGGGAUGCACUUCUAGCACUCAGACCACAGCUCAAGACACAACACGACCCAACACCAAACGAGAUGGGAGCACAUCAGGAACAAAUAAUGAAAACGGUGGCCCUGCAGCAGACAGCGAGACAAUUCCAGACCAAACCCAGGCCGAGGAAUCUCCACAGACAUCCAGUGCAGCUCCUGUUGCCUCGGAGGAAAUACAGAGCUCUGUGGCUGCCGUAGCUCACAAUGAACCAGAAGCAGCUGCUGCUGAGGCCAUUACAUCUGACCAGCCUGCUGAACCCGAAUCAAACCCCUCCACAACAGCUGACAAUACCGAAGAACCAGCACCAAGUGAAAACACAACUGAGGACCAGGCUAAAUCUUCCCCACCAGAGGACGUGCCUGGUAAGUAGGGUAAUAUGAUGCAAGACGGACCUAAAAAUCUUCUCCUGAGGAUAAAUGUCUUGUCUGAUUUCCCAUACCACUUCAUCUCUUUCAGCCUCUGGUGAAGAUAGUUAAGUGCGCAUCAUUUGGCACAGUUACUACAGAAUCCGGAUUCAACCACCUAUUUUCAAUAAAAUAAAGAUUCACAUGAAUGGUUUCAAAAUACAGUGGAACAUUAGUUUAUUUAUUAUAUAGAUAUUGCUUGUUCGUUGCCAAGAUUUAGACCAACUGGUCUUCAGAGACUCUGUGCCUGUCUUUGUAUACACAGGAUACAAACAUCACACUAGUUAUAGUUUAGUGAAUUAUAAUUGCUGGCUUUAGCUAGAGAUUUCCUUCAUCGAUAUUUAAUAUUGGUGCCUAUUUUAGUGGCUUUACCCCUUUAUAAAAAAUGCAAAAAGCCAAAGAGAAUAUGAAAAUCGUGGAAUGCUAUUUAUAUAAUUAUGUAAUAUUUUAACCAACUGAAAUAAAAU
rnacentral:lncRNA from 1 species